UGAGAACAAGUUCCUCGAGACCUGACAGUGCGUUCCAGUGAGAUAGCGAUUCAACGGCAGCAUCAUUGAUGAGAUUCUGACGAAGAGAGAGCUUCUUCAGGUUCGAGAGCUCUCCAAUCCGAGGGUCCAAACUCGAAAGUCGAUUUGCAGUCAGGUCCAAUUCCGUUAAACUCGAAGGUAACUCGAUAGAGUCGAGGUCAUGGAGCUGAAAGCUGGUGAGAUCAAGAAUCGUAGAAUUGAGA
rnacentral:misc_RNA from 1 species